rnacentral:rRNA from 1 species
AGCGAACGCUGGCGGCAGGCUUAACACAUGCAAGUCGAGCGGGCAUCUUCGGGUGUCAGCGGCGGACGGGUGAGUAACGCGUGGGAACGUGCCUUCUGGUUCGGAAUAACUCAGGGAAACUUGAGCUAAUACCGGAUACGCCCUUUUGGGGAAAGGUUUACUGCCGGAAGAUCGGCCCGCGUCUGAUUAGCUAGUUGGUGGGGUAACGGCCUACCAAGGCGACGAUCAGUAGCUGGUCUGAGAGGAUGAUCAGCCACACUGGGACUGAGACAUGGCCCAGACUCCUACGGGAGGCAGCAGUGGGGAAUAUUGGACAAUGGGGGCAACCCUGAUCCAGCCAUGCCGCGUGAGUGAUGAAGGCCUUAGGGUUGUAAAGCUCUUUUACCCGGGACGAUCAUGACGGUACCGGAGGAAUAAGCCCCGGCUAACUUCGUGCCAGCCGCCGCCGUAA